UCCAGACUCCUACGGGAGGCAGCAGUGGGGAAUAUUGCACAAUGGGGGAAACCCUGAUGCAGCGACGCCGCGUGAGUGAAGAAGUAUUUCGGUAUGUAAAGCUCUAUCAGCAGGGAAGAUAAUGACGGUACCUGACUAAGAAGCCCCGGCUAACUACGUGCCAGCAGCCGCGGUAAUACGUAGGGGGCAAGCGUUAUCCGGAUUUACUGGGUGUAAAGGGUGCGCAGGUGGCAGGGCAAGUCAGAUGUGAAAGCCCGGGGCUCAACCCCGGUAUUGCAUUUGAAACUGUCCGGCUAGAGUGCAGGAGAGGUAAGCGGAAUUCCUAGUGUAGCGGUGAAAUGCGUAGAUAUUAGGAGGAACACCAGUGGCGAAGGCGGCUUACUGGACUGUAACUGACACUGAGGCACGAAAGCGUGGGGAGCAAACAGGAUUAGAUACCCCAGUAAC
rnacentral:rRNA from 1 species